rnacentral:lncRNA from 1 species
UAUGGAAGGGAUAGCAUAACAUGUGUUUACGUGUCACCGGAGAGAACCAUCUUUCGGAAGUCAAUUUCCUAUGCAAGGUGUGAUCAGCCUUUCACACCGAUACGUUCAAGGGGCUAGGAGGAGGACACCGCCGCGAUUUCAUCCUAAUCGUAAGGAGUAGCCGCCAGGGAGUUGGGAGCCACCCAGGCCGCCUAGCCCCGCCUAGGCCGCCUAGAGCCCGCCUAGCCCGCCUAGCCCGCCUAGCUCCCGCCUAGCCCUCCUAGCUCCCGCCUAGGCCGCCUAGGCCGGUCUGGGCUGGCUUUUUGCCGUUGAGGCGUCG